rnacentral:rRNA from 1 species
AGUGAACGCUGGCGGUAGGCCUAACACAUGCAAGUCGAACGGCAGCACAGUAAGAGCUUGCUCUUACGGGUGGCGAGUGGCGGACGGGUGAGGAAUACAUCGGAAUCUACUUUUUCGUGGGGGAUAACGUAGGGAAACUUACGCUAAUACCGCAUACGACCUACGGGUGAAAGUAGGGGAUCUUCGGACCUUGCGCGAUUGAAUGAGCCGAUGUCGGAUUAGCUAGUUGGCGGGGUAAAGGCCCACCAAGGCGACGAUCCGUAGCUGGUCUGAGAGGAUGAUCAGCCACACUGGAACUGAGACACGGUCCAGACUCCUACGGGAGGCAGCAGUGGGGAAUAUUGGACAAUGGGCGCAAGCCUGAUCCAGCCAUACCGCGUGGGUGAAGAAGGCCUUCGGGUUGUAAAGCCCUUUUGUCGGGAAAGAAAAGCAGCAGGUUAAUACCCCGCUGUUCUGACGGUACCCAAAGAAUAAGCACCGGCUAACUUCGUG